UACAGAGGGGGCAAGCGUUGUUCGGAAUUACUGGGCGUAAAGCGUGCGCAGGCGGUUUUGUAAGUCAGAUGUGAAAUCCCCGGGCUUAACCUGGGAACUGCGUUUGAAACUACAAGGCUAGAGUGUGGCAGAGGGGGGGUAGAAUUCCACGUGUAGCAGUGAAAUGCGUAGAUAUCGGGAGGAACACCAGUGGCGAAGGCGACUACCUGGCCUGUUCUUGACGCUGAGGCGCGAAAGCUAGGGGAGCAAACGGGG
rnacentral:rRNA from 1 species